AUUAUUGUUCACUUUUGACUGGUACUGUAUAUAUUAUUGUUCACUUUUUGCGUAAAGCUUUGCUGUUGAUUACUGCAUUCAGUUUAGGAUGCUCAUUUUGGCAGGUCCUAAUAAUGUCUGUUUAUUUGGGAUCUGAAAGUGAAGAUGUUUGUAAGUUAUAUCUGAGCAUACUCCAUGACCAUGUGUUAAGGAAACACACACAAGUGUGGAGGUAGGGAGGUGUUUCCCAUGCCAAUAAAGCUCUUGAAUUGAAUUGACAGGUAUAUGGAUGGAGAGAGAGGUAGAGGGGGAGAGAGGUAGGUAGAGAGAGCGAGAGAGAGAUGUUUUUCAUGCCAAUAAAGUUAUUGAAUUGAAUUGAGAGGUGUAUGGAGGUAGAGAGAGGUAGAGGGAGAGAAGUGUAGGGAGGUAGAGAGCGGUAGAGGGAGAGAGAGGUGUAGGGAGGUAGAGAGCGGUAGAGAGAGGUAGAGGGAGAGAAGUGUAGGGAGGUAGAGAGCGGUAGAGGGAGAGAGAGGUGUAGGGAGGUAGAGAGCGGUAGAGGGAGAGAGAGGUGUAGGGAGGUAGAGAGCGGUAGAGGGAGAGAGAGGUGUAGGGAGGUAGCGAGAGGUGUAGGGAGGUAGAGAGCGGUAGAGGGAGAGAGAGGUGUAGGGAGGUAGCGAGAGGUGUAGGGAGGUAGAGAGCGGUAGAGGGAGCGAGAGGUGUAGGGAGGUAGAGCGCGGUAGAGGGAGAGAGGUGUAGGGAGGUAGAGAGCGGUAGAGGGAGAGAGAGGUGUAGGGAGGUAGCGAGAGGUGUAGGGAGGUAGCGAGAGGUAGAGGGAGAGAGAGGUGUAGGGAGGUAGAGAGCGGUAGAGGGAGAGAGAGGUGUAGGGAGGUAGAGGGAGAGAGAGGUGUAGGGAGGUAGCGAGAGGUGUAGGGAGGUAGAGAGCGGUAGAGGGAGAGAGAGGUGUAGGGAGGUAGAGAGCGGUAGAGGGAGAGAGAGGUGUAGGGAGGUAGAGAGCGGUAGAGGGAGAGAGGUGUAGGGAGGUAGAGAGCGGUAGAGGGAGAGAGGUAGAGGGAGAGAGAGGUGUAGGGAGGUAGAGGGAGAGAGAGGUGUAGGGAGGUAGAGAGCGGUAGAGGGAGAGAGGUGUAGGGAGGUAGAGAGCGGUAGAGGGAGAGAGAGGUGUAGGGAGGUAGAGAGCGGUAGAGGGAGAGAGGUGUAGGGAGGUAGAGGGAGAGAGAGGUGUAGGGAGGUAGAGCGAGAGGUACAGAGGGUCAGAGGUGGG
rnacentral:lncRNA from 1 species